rnacentral:rRNA from 1 species
UACGAAGGGGGCUAGCGUUGCUCGGAAUCACUGGGCGUAAAGCGCACGUAGGUGGGUCGUUAAGUCAGGGGUGAAAUCCUGGAGCUCAACUCCAGAACUGCCUUUAAUACUGCCAGUCUCGAGUCCGGAAGAGGUAAGUGGAACUCCUAGUGUAGAGGUGGAAUUCGUAGAUAUUAGGAAGAACACCAGUGGCGAAGGCGGCUUACUGGUCCGGUACUGACGCUGAGGUGCGAAAGCGUGGGGAGCAAACAGG